UCUUUAUUGCAAUCACCUUCUGUGCAGUCUCCGUCUCCGCCAAAGAGUUCGUGGUCGGUGACGCUAAGGGCUGGGCUGUUGGUCCUUGCUACAAAACAUGGGCUAAAGAUAAGGCAUUCUCCAUCGGAGACGUUCUAGUAUUUAACUACAAGAAAGGUGAACACGACGUACUAAGAGUGAACAAAGAAUCUUUCGAAUCCUCAAAGAAUCUUUCGAAUCCUGCGAUGCAUCUUCUCCUCUUUCAACUAAUGACUCUGGAGAAGACAUCGUCAAUCUGAUGGAACCAGGCGAAUAUUACUUCAUAUGCGGGAAACCUGGGCAUUGCCAAGAUGGUCAGAAGCUUAGUGUCCAAGUUGCAUGAAACUGAGUGGACUCGAUCAACUUCUGAGCUUCUCCUGUCGAUGAAUAUGCAUGGGAAAUAAAUUAAUAAAACCUAUAAUAAAGAUUGUUAGUAGAAAAGAUUUAAGUUUCAAUAUGUAGACAUUGUUUGCUCCCUGGAAGACAUUGGCAAUUUUCAGCUAAAUGCCAACAAUAACACUUCGAAUGUAAUUUGUAUAUUGAGGAUCAAAUUAUGUUUUGAUGAGAAUAACUUGUAACUAUAGAAAUUACCAUCACUUUUCUAUGUAUGUUGAGAGUCUCCAAUUUUCUUCUA